CAACGAAUCUUCCCCAAUGCCGGAAACGGUGAGGGAGCGACGCCGCGUGAAGGAUGAAGUACUUCGGUAUGUAAACUUCUUUUAGGGUUACGAAAGCAGAGGGACCUAAUACGUCCUGAGUUGAUCUAGCCCAGAAUAAGGGGCGGCUAACUCUGUGCCAGCAGCCGCGGUAAUACAGAGGCCCCAAGCGUUACUGAGAAUCACUGGGUUUACAGGGUGCGUAGGUGGCGCGUUAAGUCCGUUGUGAAAUCCCCUGGCUCAACCAGGGAACUGCUGCGGAUACUGGCGCGCUUGAGGCCGGGAGGGGUCACUGGAACAGACGGUGGAGCGGUGAAAUGCGUAGAUAUCGUCUGGAACGCCGGUGGUGAAGACGGGUGACUGGGCCGGUUCUGACACUGAGGCACGAAAGCGUGGGGAGCGAACG
rnacentral:rRNA from 1 species